GAUAAACGCUGGCGGCGUGCUUAACACAUGCAAGUCGAACGAAGUUUUUCCUUCGGGAGACACUUAGUGGCGGACGGGUGAGUAACGCGUGGGUAACCUGCCCUGUACAGGGGGACAACAGCUGGAAACGGCUGCUAAUACCGCAUAAGCCCUUAGCACUGCAUGGUGCAUAGGGAAAAGGAGCAAUCCGGUACAGGAUGGACCCGCGUCUGAUUAGCCAGUUGGCAGGGUAACGGCCUACCAAAGCGACGAUCAGUAGCCGAUCUGAGAGGAUGUACGGCCACAUUGGGACUGAGACACGGCCCAGACUCCUACGGGAGGCAGCAGUGGGGAAUAGUGCACAAUGGAGGAAACUCUGAUGCAGCGACGCCGCGUGAGUGAAGAAGUAUUUCGGUAUGUAAAGCUCUAUCAGCAGGGAAGAAAAUGACGGUACCUGACUAAGAAGCACCGGCUAAAUACGUG
rnacentral:rRNA from 1 species